CAUGAAUUUUAUGGGCUGUGGUAAACAAGUGUUGAUGUUUGCUGAAUUAAAACUCAAUUUAAGUGUAACCCUGUUCUCUUGCCAGCUGGGCUCAUGUGGCACUGCUCAGCCGGCUUGUGGAGACUGCCUGCAGUUCUAUUUAUUCAGCAAAAUAGCUUGGCGAAAAUGCAGCAUCCUGUCAGCUUACUGUGAGGACAGAGAAGAAAGCCGUGAAACAAGCACAGAACUUAAAUACAGUCGCAAGGAUGCCCUUCAGAAUGAGAUGCUGGCUACAGCUAGCAGCUAGGCUGUGAGUCCUGGUGUGAUGAGCUGCGGUACGACAUACCAUGGGAGGCCAGGCUGUCUCGUGGGCACGGACAAGUUUCCUUCCUGAGCAACUCUUCCCGCCUGCCUGCCCAAGGAGGAGCCCUGGCGUGGGAACUCUCCUGGCAUGAGGAUUACAGCUCCUGGGAGGCAGCUGCCCUCCAGAGCUGGCGGAAAGCCCCCUGGCCUGCACCCUGCAGGACACAGCUGUGCUGAAAGGGGGCACAGGACAGCCCUGCAGCUCACCCCUCACCCCAGAGCGCCGUGGCACGAGCCUCGGGGCGACAGCACACGCAGCGACAGCUAGGGCAUGGCCUGCAGCGGUUUUAUCGCUCUGACCGUCCUGGGCAAUCGCAGACUGUAACAGCCCUACAGUGGCUUUCUUGCAUGUUGGAGAGCCAGGAUCCAGGGAGCAGCAGAGAUUUUUAGACCCUUAUUGCCCUCCUCACCGUUCCCUCACUCCCGCGCACCCAGUUUGCUUGCGGUGCGGCGAAGGGUACCCAGGGCCCCUCGCCGUAGCCCUGUGGCAGGGGAAGCUGCCAUGGCCUCGGGGCUGUCCUGGCUGCUCACAGGCUGCGUGUGAGUCUGGAGCAACAGGGGCCACCUGGGUGCUGCCAAGGAGCCUUCAGGAAUGCGAAAAUCCUGGGGAACAAAGGGCCUCGGAAACCCGGAUGGGAAGCGAAGAUCAACGGGGGUGACCUGUCUCGAGGGGCUGAGCUCCCGCAGGAGGGAGAGAGGUAGGUCUGGUGGCAGGAGCCAGAACAACCUGUUGGUGUUACUUCAGCGAGUUGGUCCAUUUAUUGGUUUGCUUUGCUCUGUGACUGCCAAGUGGACUUUUUUAUCUGUGGUCCUGUUGCUGUUGGGCCUUGCCUCGUGGAGUUACUUUGGUCCCAGCUGCUGAGAUGCCAGCUGUGUUUUCCUGCAUAUUGAAAGAUUAAUUUGCUUUUGCUUGCAGAAAUUGACCAAGCAAAAACAGAGGAGAA
rnacentral:lncRNA from 1 species